GCUUAAAACUAGGCGGCACUUUUUAAAUUAAAAAAAAAAGUGCCCCCAUAGUUUGAGUA
rnacentral:miRNA from 1 species